rnacentral:rRNA from 1 species
UACGAAGGGGGCGAGCGUUGUUCGGAUUUACUGGGCGUAAAGGGCGCGCAGGCGGUUCUGUUUGUCGAGUGUGAAAGCCCCGGGCUCAACCUGGGAACUGCGCUCGAAACGGCGGAACUAGAGUUCGGGAGAGGAGAGUGGAAUUCCCAGUGUAGAGGUGAAAUUCGUAGAUAUUGGGAAGAACACCGGUGGCGAAGGCGGCUCUCUGGACCGAUACUGACGCUGAGGCACGAAAGCGUGGGGAGCAAACAGG